UACGUAGGUGGCAAGCGUUGUCCGGAUUUAUUGGGUUUAAAGGGUGCGUAGGCGGUUCUGUAAGUCAGUGGUGAAAUACUCUAGCUUAACUAGAGGGGUGCCAAUGAUACUGCAGAACUUGAGUACAGAUGAGGUAGGCGGAAUUGACGGUGUAGCGGUGAAAUGCAUAGAUAUCGUCAAGAACACCGAUAGCGAAGGCAGCUUACUGGGCUGUAACUGACGCUGAUGCACGAAAAGUGUGGGGAUCAAACAGG
rnacentral:rRNA from 1 species